rnacentral:rRNA from 2 species
UGAGGAAUAUUGGUCAAUGGGCGAGAGCCUGAACCAGCCAAGUAGCGUGCAGGAUGACGGCCCUAUGGGUUGUAAACUGCUUUUAUGUGGGGAUAAAGUGCGUGACGUGUCAUGCAUUGCAGGUACCACAUGAAUAAGGACCGGCUAAUUCCUUGCCAGCAGCCGCGGUAAUACGGAAGGUCCGGGCGUUAUCCGGAUUUAUUGGGUUUAAAGGGAGCGUAGGCUGUCUAUUAAGCGUGUUGUGAAAUUUACCGGCUCAACCGGUGGCUUGCAGCGCGAACUGGUCGACUUGAGUAUGCAGGAAGUAGGCGGAAUUCAUGGUGUAGCGGUGAAAUGCUUAGAUAUCAUGACGAACUCCGAUUGCGCAGGCAGCUUACUGUAGCAUAACUGACGCUGAUGCUCGAAAGUGCGGGUAUCAAACAGG